AGACCCGAAACCCGGUGAUCUAGCCAUGGGCAGGUUGAAGGUUGGGUAACACUAACUGGAGGACCGAACCGACUAAUGUUGAAAAAUUAGCGGAUGACCUGUGGCUGGGGGUGAAAGGCCAAUCAAACCGGGAGAUAGCUGGUUCUCCCCGAAAGCUAUUUAGGUAGCGCCUCGUGAAUUCAUCUCCGGGGGUAGAGCACUGUUUCGGCUAGGGGGCCAUCCCGGCUUACCAACCCGAUGCAAACUGCGAAUACCGGAGAAUGUUAUCACGGGAGACACACGGCGGGUGCUAACGUCCGUCGUGAAGAGGGAAACAACCCAGACCGCCAGCUAAGGUCCCAAAGUCAUGGUUAAGUGGGAAACGAUGUGGGAAGGCCCAGACAGCCAGGAUGUUGGCUUAGAAGCAGCCAUCAUUUAAAGAAAGCGUAAUAGCUCACUGGUCGAGUCGGCCUGCGCGGAAGAUGUAACGGGGCUAAACCAUGCACCGAAGCUGCGGCAGCGACACUCAGGUGUUGUUGGGUAGGGGAGCGUUCUGUAAGCCUGCGAAGGUGGCCUGUGAGGGUUGCUGGAGGUAUCAGAAGUGCGAAUGCUGACAUAAGUAACGAUAAAGCGGGUGAAAAGCCCGCUCGCCGGAAGACCAAGGGUUCCUGUCCAACGUUAAUCGGGGCAGGGUGAGUCGACCCCUAAGGCGAGGCCGAAAGGCGUAGUCGAUGGGAAACGGGUUAAUAUUCCCGUACUUGGUGUUACUGCGAAGGGGGGACGGAGAAGGCUAUGUUGGCCGGGCGACGGUUGUCCCGGUUUAAGCGUGUAGGUGUGUGUUCCAGGUAAAUCCGGUUCACUUUAACACUGAGGCGUGACGACGAGGCACUACGGUGCUGAAGCAACAAAUGCCCUGCUUCCAGGAAAAGCCUCUAAGCAUCAGGUAACAUCAAAUCGUACCCCAAACCGACACAGGUGGUCAGGUAGAGAAUACCAAGGCGCUUGAGAGAACUCGGGUGAAGGAACUAGGCAAAAUGGUGCCGUAACUUCGGGAGAAGGCACGCUGACAUGUAGGUGAAGUGAUUUACUCAUGGAGCUGAAGUCAGUCGAAGAUACCAGCUGGCUGCAACUGUUUAUUAAAAACACAGCACUGUGCAAACACGAAAGUGGACGUAUACGGUGUGACGCCUGCCCGGUGCCGGAAGGUUAAUUGAUGGGGUCAGCGCAAGCGAAGCUCCUGAUCGAAGCCCCGGUAAACGGCGGCCGUAACUAUAACGGUCCUAAGGUAGCGAAAUUCCUUGUCGGGUAAGUUCCGACCUGCACGAAUGGCGUAAUGAUGGCCAGGCUGUCUCCACCCGAGACUCAGUGAAAUUGAACUCGCUGUGAAGAUGCAGUGUACCCGCGGCAAGACGGAAAGACCCCGUGAACCUUUACUAUAGCUUGACACUGAACAUUGAGCCUUGAUGUGUAGGAUAGGUGGGAGGCUUUGAAGUGUGGACGCCAGUCUGCAUGGAGCCGACCUUGAAAUACCACCCUUUAAUGUUUGAUGUUCUAACGUGGACCCGUGAUCCGGGUUGCGGACAGUGUCUGGUGGGUAGUUUGACUGGGGCGGUCUCCUCCUAAAGAGUAACGGAGGAGCACGAAGGUUGGCUAAUCCUGGUCGGACAUCAGGAGGUUAGUGCAAUGGCAUAAGCCAGCUUGACUGCGAGCGUGACGGCGCGAGCAGGUGCGAAAGCAGGUCAUAGUGAUCCGGUGGUUCUGAAUGGAAGGGCCAUCGCUCAACGGAUAAAAGGUACUCCGGGGAUAACAGGCUGAUACCGCCCAAGAGUUCAUAUCGACGGCGGUGUUUGGCACCUCGAUGUCGGCUCAUCACAUCCUGGGGCUGAAGUAGGUCCCAAGGGUAUGGCUGUUCGCCAUUUAAAGUGGUACGCGAGCUGGGUUUAGAACGUCGUGAGACAGUUCGGUCCCUAUCUGCCGUGGGCGCUGGAGAACUGAGGGGGGCUGCUCCUAGUACGAGAGGACCGGAGUGGACGCAUCACUGGUGUUCGGGUUGUCAUGCCAAUGGCACUGCCCGGUAGCUAAAUGCGGAAGAGAUAAGUGCUGAAAGCAUCUAAGCACGAAACUUGCCCCGAGAUGAGUUCUCCCUGAGACUUUAAGUCUCCUGAAGGAACGUUGAAGACGACGACGUUGAUAGGCCGGGUGUGUAAGCGCAGCGAUGCGUUGAGCUAACCGGUACUAAUGAACCGUGAGGCUUAACCUUACAACGCCG
rnacentral:rRNA from 1 species